UCCAUGAUGGCGGGGGGGAGAACAAUGUCCGGGUCAUGGGAGGAGAGAGGAUGCGAGGUUGAAUAAGUUAGCAUAAUGAAAAACCAGGGCCCAUCUGUUACAGCCUGCGGGCACAGGUGAGCAUAAUCAGCUGACAACCCUCACGUGUAAGCUGACUGACUACUGAAGUUGACCAGAACAGCUCCAAGACAGUAGGAGAGUCACAAUAUCCACAACAAAAAGUCAUUCGUAUCGAUUUUGGAAUUUGGGAAAGUCUGAAGUAAAAGGGGGAAAAACAUUUUUAUCGUGUUCACAAACGCAAAAACAAAAUACUUUGGAUGGAGGAACGAUCAGAGACAAGGCCAGGGUCAGCUGUAACAUCUACGUCACUACAAAAAAACAAAUGGACUUAUAGGAAAUGUGGUGUUAACUUGUUGAAUCUGAUGCUAAAUUUUAAUUUAGCAUUACCUUUAUUGGUAGGAUUAUGGUAUAGGCACUGCAUGAACCAGAAACACAAUAUGGUUAUUGUGACUACUCAGAAAUGCCAUUAUCUGGUGUGUGGAUGCUACUUGUUCAGAGGUACUCUACAAAAAUGGGGUUAAUUAUGAGAACACUUUCAGCCAGAAACUGUGAAACUGUUUACCAUAAAUAUACAAAAGGUAGUGCGACAGAACCAAUGUAGAUGUUGCCACCUUUCACUGGAUCACAGCCUCCUAAAGUUGCAUUACCUUCCUGGCACUCUGGCGUCAAAACACAGCAGUGUGUAAUGCCGCUAUACCUUUGUGCUCACAGCCAUGUUUGUUUACUGUCCCUGAGCAGGGACACAUGAAAGUGGGGUGACCGGGUCUAUGGCCGUGACCCCGGCGACAAGAACAACCCCUGUCCCUGUAGGCACUGCCUUUCUCCCUCUCCUGCACCAAACACAGCUCGGCCCUGGUCUGUUGCCUCAGGAUGGGAGUCACAGGACUGUGCUUUGAAGAAGUGCACAGCAGGGCCACAUUCGGACCAACAAGAGCGGAGACAGUGUUCUGUGGAGACCUACUGUCAACACUAGGGACAGGAACUCACUUGAUGGCUGCGCUGAGCAGGAAGUUGAGCUGUGGCAUCACAAGCGUGUCAGGCGACGACAAGUACCGAUCAAACUGGACCUGUUGUUCGUGCAAGAGGGUUAAGAGCAGAAGAGCUGUCCAUGCUGGGAAGGAGGGACAAAGGGCCCUGAGACAGAAGAGGAAACAUCAUCUUAGAAUUCCACUCAAGGUCACAGUGUUGGAUCUCAGAACCAAACAAAAGUCAAGUGGCUGAGGUCCGUCAUUCAUUUAUUCAGCUGCCGUGAAUUCAGGCAUUUAGGCCAGAGUUUACCUGUGCAAAGUCAGCCUGGCGGGCAUCCAGAGGAACUACUGAUGAGUCGUGGGAGGCCAGCACCUCCCUGAGGAGGGACAGGGUCUGAGUGAGGGAGGCUGUAGGUCCCAGGUCUGCAGGAGGCAGCUCCACCUGCCAAGGCAGACAGGAUGAAAAGAAGAGACAGAGCAAAAGAGCAAAGUUAUUCUUGAAGAGAGUGACUUCAAAUACCUGAUGGUGUGGUGGUAGAACUUGAGCAGGUUGGACAGCUUAUAAAGCAGCACAGCACCUGGUUCAGCCACGAUGACCUGCUCUAUCCGAACCUGAGGGACAGAUCAACAAUACACCGAUGGCCUGCAGACUCCCUCGGUGAUGUGUCCGACCACCUCCUGCAUGUUCUCCUCCACAUCUAUUGUAAGAAGACACACACAAAUAUAGUCAGGGCUAUUUGGGAUUAAAUACAUCAACUGUUUUGAGGGUACUGUAGAUGUAAGCAUAUUAUUAAUGAAUACAAUAUUGGAGAAAAUGUCCUGUUUUCACUGUCAAAUUCUGUAUUUUUUGAGCCCUGCCUACAGAGCUCAAACUUUUUACAAGUCAGCUCCUACAUGAUUUGUUGGGAUUGAGAUGAUUAACAAAAUUAAUUUCAGAAAACGACCUCAAAAUUAUGUAAGGAGAUAAAUGCUGAUACUCGAUAGAAGUAACUGGUGUAAUAGCUCAGCAUAACAAACUGGACAAAAGGCCAGCCCAGGUCUUGACUGAUCUGUGUUUAUUCUUUACAGCUAUGUGAACCAAAGAAGGUAAAUUAGGGAAACAAGCACAGGAUUAGUCUAUCAGGCUGAACUAAAUGUGCUGGAAUUUGAUUUGUUCACACUCUUUAACCUAAAUCUCUAAACUCAUUGUAUGACUGUGGUUACCCAAACUCUGUCCAAUAAACAAGCUACUCGUGA